CAUAGGUUAAUGAGGCGAACCGGGGGAACUGAAACAUCUAAGUACCCCGAGGAAAAGAAAUCAACCGAGAUUCCCCCAGUAGCGGCGAGCGAACGGGGAGCAGCCCAGAGCCUGAAUCAGUGUGUGUGUUAGUGGAAGCGUCUGGAAAGGCGCGCGAUACAGGGUGACAGCCCCGUACACAAAAAUGCACAUGCUGUGAGCUCGAUGAGUAGGGCGGGACACGUGGUAUCCUGUCUGAAUAUGGGGGGACCAUCCUCCAAGGCUAAAUACUCCUGACUGACCGAUAGUGAACCAGUACCGUGAGGGAAAGGCGAAAAGAACCCCGGCGAGGGGAGUGAAAAAGAACCUGAAACCGUGUACGUACAAGCAGUGGGAGCCUCUUUAUGGGGUGACUGCGUACCUUUUGUAUAAUGGGUCAGCGACUUAUAUUCUGUAGCAAGGUUAACCGAAUAGGGGAGCCGAAGGGAAACCGAGUCUUAACUGGGCGUUAAGUUGCAGGGUAUAGACCCGAAACCCGGUGAUCUAGCCAUGGGCAGGUUGAAGGUUGGGUAACACUAACUGGAGGACCGAACCGACUAAUGUUGAAAAAUUAGCGGAUGACUUGUGGCUGGGGGUGAAAGGCCAAUCAAACCGGGAGAUAGCUGGUUCUCCCCGAAAGCUAUUUAGGUAGCGCCUCGUGAAUUCAUCUCCGGGGGUAGAGCACUGUUUCGGCAAGGGGGUCAUCCCGACUUACCAACCCGAUGCAAACUGCGAAUACCGGAGAAUGUUAUCACGGGAGACACACGGCGGGUGCUAACGUCCGUCGUGAAGAGGGAAACAACCCAGACCGCCAGCUAAGGUCCCAAAGUCAUGGUUAAGUGGGAAACGAUGUGGGAAGGCCCAGACAGCCAGGAUGUUGGCUUAGAAGCAGCCAUCAUUUAAAGAAAGCGUAAUAGCUCACUGGUCGAGUCGGCCUGCGCGGAAGAUGUAACGGGGCUAAACCAUG
rnacentral:rRNA from 1 species